AAUGAACGCUGGCGGCGUGCCUAAUACAUGCAAGUCGAGCGAACGGACGAGAAGCUUGCUUUUCUGAUGUUAGCGGCGGACGGGUGAGUAACACGUGGAUAACCUACCUAUAAGACUGGGAUAACUUCGGGAAACCGGAGCUAAUACCGGAUAAUAUUUUGAACCGCAUGGUUCAAAAGUGAAAGACGGUCUUGCUGUCACUUAUAGAUGGAUCCGCGCUGCAUUAGCUAGUUGGUAAGGUAACGGCUUACCAAGGCAACGAUGCAUAGCCGACCUGAGAGGGUGAUCGGCCACACUGGAACUGAGACACGGUCCAGACUCCUACGGGAGGCAGCAGUAGGGAAUCUUCCGCAAUGGGCGAAAGCCUGACGGAGCAACGCCGCGUGAGUGAUGAAGGUCUUCGGAUCGUAAAACUCUGUUAUUAGGGAAGAACAUAUGUGUAAGUAACUGUGCACAUCUUGACGGUACCUAAUCAGAAAGCCACGGCUAACUACGUG
rnacentral:rRNA from 1 species